AGAGUUUGAUCCUGGCUCAGAACGAACGUUGGCGGCGUGGAUUAGGCAUGCAAGUCGAACGAGAAAGCUUCCUUCGGGAAGUGAGUAUAGUGGCGAACGGGUGAGUAACGCGUGGGAAAUCUGCCAUUUGGUGGGGGAUAACAUUCCUAACGGGGUGCUAAUACCGCAUGAUAUCCGGAGAUCGCAUGGUCACCGGAUGAAAGAUGGCCUCUACAUGUAAGCUCGCACUCUGAGAUGGUCCCGCGUCCCAUUAGCUUGUUGGUGGGGUAACGGCCUACCAAGGCAACGAUGGGUAGCCGGCCUGAGAGGGUGUCCGGCCUCACUGGGACUGAGAUACGGCCCAGACUCCUACGGGAGGCAGCAGUCGAGAAGCUUCGGCAAUGGGCGAAAGCCUGACCGAGCGACGCCGCGUGAGCGAUGAAGGCCCUUGUGGUUGUAAAGCUCUGUCAGGAGGGAAUAAAGCACCAUGACUAAUACUUGUGGUGUCUGAAGGUACCUCCAAAGGAAGCACCGGCUAACUCCGUGCCAGCAGCCGCGGUAAUACGGAGGGUGCAAACGUUGUUCGGAUUUACUGGGUGUAAAGGGUGCGUAGGCGGUCUGAUAAGUCACAGGUGAAAGCCAACGGCUCAACCGUUGAAAUUGCCUGUGAUACUGUCAGACUUGAGUCCGUUAGGGGAUGGUGGAAUUCCAGGUGUAGCGGUGAAAUGCGUAAAUAUCAGGAGGAACACCAGUGGCGAAGGCGGCUAUCUGGGACGGAACUGACGCUGAGGAACGAAAGCAUGGGUAUCAAACGGGAUUAGAUACCCCGGUAGUCCAUGCUGUAAACGAUGGGCGCUAGGUGUUGGAGGGUCUUACCCCUUCGGUGCCGAAGCUAACGCAUUAAGUGCCCCACCUGGGGAGUACGAUCGCAAGGUUGAAACUCAAAGGAAUUGACGGGGGCCCGCACAAGCGGUGGAGCAUGUGGUUUAAUUCGAUGCAACGCGAAGAACCUUACCUGGACUUGACAUGCAGGAGACAGCCGUAGAGAUACGGUUUCCUUCGGGUUCCUGCACAGGUGCUGCAUGGCUGUCGUCAGCUCGUGUCGUGAAAUGUUAGGUUAAGUCCUGCAACGAGCGCAACCCCUGUCUUUAGUUGCCAACACGUAAUGGUGGGAACUCUAGAGAGACUGCCGGUGAUAAACCGGAGGAAGGUGGGGACGACGUCAAGUCAUCAUGGCCCUUACGUCCAGGGCUACACACGUGCUACAAUGGUCGGUACAAAGGGCUGCAAUACAGCGAUGUGGAGCGAAUCCCAAAAAGCCGGCCUCAGUUCGGAUCGUAGUCUGCAACUCGACUACGUGAAGUUGGAAUCGCUAGUAAUCGCGUAUCAGAACGACGCGGUGAAUACGUUCCCGGGCCUUGUACACACCGCCCGUCAAGUCAACCGAGUUGGUUGCACCCCAAGUCGCUGAGCUAACCCGUAAGGGAGGCAGGUGCCCAAGGUGUGAUUAGCGAGGGGGACUAAGUCGUAACAAGGUAACCA
rnacentral:rRNA from 1 species